AGCAGUCGUAUCAAGCAGAAUGCAUGGAGGAACUAAGUUGCACUCAAUCUAAGACAAGUUCCUGACACAAAUUACUCCAAAGAAGGUUGGAAGUGAGGGGGAAGGGCUUCUCACUCAUACGUGCUCAUCAAGUGUGAAUCAGAAAUUGUGCUCUUACGUAUCAACGGCAGACUCGUCUAUCGACGAAUGGAAGCUUUGUUUAGUCGAGAGACCUUGGUUGGGUAUUCAGUAUAUCUCGAAUCUGGAAUGCCAUUAUUUACAUAUCAUAUGAUACAAUUACAUAGAAAUCGCGACAUAUUGACAACAAUGUGAAUUUCUGAAGAAAUAUUUAAAAUUCAAACAAACCCCGGGGGGUAAAUAAUUUCUUGUUGUUUUAGCUGUAUAUUAGGUUAAUUCUCUUAUGUAAAAAGUUAACAAUGAAGAUAGAACAGUGAAAACAUUUAUUUGCAUUUCAUUCAACAGAAACCAAUUCUGAGCGGGCUUAGUAUUUUCAAUGAAAAUAUAGCGUGAUCAAAUUGAAUUAUACUAAAGAUUGUCAUAGAAUUUUUAAUUAUAUGUGUAUAAUGUAAACAUACUUCAAAUGUCGAUGCUAAAGUCGAGUUAUUGUUAUGAAAAUUUCAACUAUGUGCAAUGUAUUCACCACAAA